rnacentral:rRNA from 1 species
GGGUCGACUCUGUAGGAGACUGCCGGUGUCAAACCGGAGGAAGGUGGGGAUGACGUCAAGUCCUCAUGGCCCUUAUGACCAGGGCUACACACGUGCUACAAUGGCCGGUACAAAGAGUUGCGAUACCGCGAGGUGGAGCUAAUCUCAUAAAGCCGGUCUCAGUUCGGAUUGGAGUCUGCAACUCGACUCCAUGAAGUUGGAAUCGCUAGUAAUCGCGGAUCAGCACGCCGCGGUGAAUACGUUCCCGGGCCUU